rnacentral:rRNA from 1 species
GUAGGUGGCAAGCGUUGUCCGGAAUUAUUGGGGCGUAAAGCGCGCGCAGGCGGGUUCUUUAAGUCUGAUGUGAAAGCCCACGGGCUCAACCGUGGAGGGUCAUUGGAAACUGGAGAACUUGAGUACAGAAGAGGAAAGCGGAAUUCCACGUGUAGCGGUGAAAUGCGUAGAGAUGUGGAGGAACACCAGUGGCGAAGGCGGCUUUCUGGUCUGUAACUGACGCUGAGGCGCGAAAGCGUGGGGAGCAAACAGGAUUAGAUACCCUGGUAGUCCACGCCGUAAACGAUGAGUGCUAAGUGUUAGGGGGUUUCCGCCCCUUAGUGCUGCAGCUAACGCAUUAAGCACUCCGCCUGGGGAGUACGGCCGCAAGGCUG